UGGGGAAUUUUGCACAAUGGGGGAAACCCUGAUGCAGCGACGCCGCGUGAUUUAGAAGGCCUUCGGGUUGUAAAAAUCUUUUCUAUGGGAAGAAAAUGACAGUACCAUAGGAAUAAGGACCUGCUAAUUACGUGCAAGCAGCCGCGGUAAUACGUAAGGUCCGAGCGUUGUCCGGAAUCAUGGGGCGUAAAGGGUACGUAGGCGGGUAAGCAAGUUAGAAGUGAAAUCCUAUAGCUCAACUAUAGUAAGCUUUUAAAACUGCUCAUCUUGAGGUAUGGAAGGGAGAGUGGAAUUCCUAGUGUAGCGGUGAAAUGCGCAGAUAUUAGGAGGAGUACCGGUGGCGAAGACGACUUUCUGGCCAUAACCUGACGCUGAGGUACGAAAGCGUGGGUAGCAAACAGG
rnacentral:rRNA from 1 species